GAUGAACGCCGGCGGUGUGCCUAAUACAUGCAAGUCGAACGCGUUGGCCCAAUUGAUUGACGGUGCUUGCACCUGAUUGAUUUUGGUCGCCAACGAGUGGCGGACGGGUGAGUAACACGUAGGUAACCUGCCCAGAAGCGGGGGACAACAUUUGGAAACAGAUGCUAAUACCGCAUAACAACGUUGUUCGCAUGAACAACGCUUAAAAGAUGGCUUCUCGCUAUCACUUCUGGAUGGACCUGCGGUGCAUUAGCUUGUUGGUGGGGUAACGGCCUACCAAGGCGAUGAUGCAUAGCCGAGUUGAGAGACUGAUCGGCCACAAUGGGACUGAGACACGGCCCAUACUCCUACGGGAGGCAGCAGUAGGGAAUCUUCCACAAUGGGCGCAAGCCUGAUGGAGCAACACCGCGUGAGUGAAGAAGGGUUUCGGCUCGUAAAGCUCUGUUGUUAAAGAAGAACACGUAUGAGAGUAACUGUUCAUACGUUGACGGUAUUUAACCAGAAAGUCACGGCUAACUACGUGCCAGCAGCCGCGGUAAUACGUAGGUGGCAAGCGUUAUCCGGAUUUAUUGGGCGUAAAGAGAGUGCAGGCGGUUUUCUAAGUCUGAUGUGAAAGCCCUCGGCUUAACCGGAGAAGUGCAUCGGAAACUGGAUAACUUGAGUGCAGAAGAGGGUAGUGGAACUCCAUGUGUAGCGGUGGAAUGCGUAGAUAUAUGGAAGAACACCAGUGGCGAAGGCGGCUACCUGGUCUGCAACUGACGCUGAGACUCGAAAGCAUGGGUAGCGAACAGG
rnacentral:rRNA from 1 species